AUUGAACGCUAGCGGGAUGCUUUACACAUGCAAGUCGAACGGCAGCGCGGACUUCGGUCUGGCGGCGAGUGGCGAACGGGUGAGUAAUGUAUCGGAACGUGCCCAGUAGCGGGGGAUAACUACGCGAAAGCGUAGCUAAUACCGCAUACGCCCUACGGGGGAAAGCAGGGGAUCGUAAGACCUUGCACUAUUGGAGCGGCCGAUAUCGGAUUAGCUAGUUGGUGAGGUAACGGCUCACCAAGGCGACGAUCCGUAGCUGGUUUGAGAGGACGACCAGCCACACUGGGACUGGGACACGGCCCAGACGCCUACGGGAGGCAGCAGUGGGGAAUUUUGGACAAUGGGGGCAACCCUGAUCCAGCCAUCCCGCGUGUGCGAUGAAGGCCUUCGGGUUGUAAAGCACUUUUGGCAGGAAAGAAACGUCGCGGGCUAAUACCCCGUGGAACUGACGGUACCUGCAGAAUAAGCACCGGCUAACUACGUG
rnacentral:rRNA from 1 species